rnacentral:rRNA from 1 species
UGGAGAAAAUGUAACAAAUGUGUUUACCCAUGCCGAACACAGAAGUUAAGCCCUAGAACGCCGGAAGUAGUUGGGGGUUGCCCCCUGUGAGAUAGGGAAGUCGCUUAGCU